GACGAACGCUGGCGGCGUGCCUAAUACAUGCAAGUAGAACGCUGAAGGAGGAGCUUGCUUCUCUGGAUGAGUUGCGAACGGGUGAGUAACGCGUAGGUAACCUGCCUGGUAGCGGGGGAUAACUAUUGGAAACGAUAGCUAAUACCGCAUAAGAGUAGAUGUUGCAUGACAUUUGCUUAAAAGGUGCAAUUGCAUCACUACCAGAUGGACCUGCGUUGUAUUAGCUAGUUGGUGGGGUAACGGCUCACCAAGGCGACGAUACAUAGCCGACCUGAGAGGGUGAUCGGCCACACUGGGACUGAGACACGGCCCAGACUCCUACGGGAGGAAGCAGUAGGGAAUCUUCGGCAAUGGACGGAAGUCUGACCGAGCAACGCCGCGUGAGUGAAGAAGGUUGUCGGAUCGUAAAGCUCUGUUGUAAGAGAAGAACGAGUGUGAGAGUGGAAAGUUCACACUGUGACGGUAUCUGACCAGAAAGGGACGGCUAACUACGUG
rnacentral:rRNA from 1 species